CCCGUUGUGGGCGGGCCCACAGGGCCGGAAUCCGGAAGCGUGGCCGCGCUGCUCCGGCCCUGGAGCGGGUCCUGCGGGAGAGAGCGGGGCCCCGGGAUGGCCAUGGCGGCGCUGCGGCGGCACGUGUUUGUGGAAAAAGUGCUGAAGAGGCUUUUCCCUAGUCCCUGUGGCCAAGAGAAGAGUGGGCCCGUGACUGCAGCUUCGGAGCAACCAGCUGAGCGAGCGGCCGCUGCGGAGGUCACGGGCAGCAGUGUCCCCACGGUGCCAGAUGGGGACACCAAGGUCUCACCUCGAAGGCGGUUCUACACGGCGAGCCUGCCUCCCGAGGGGUACAUCCCAGCUCCGCCAGAGCCGCAGGGCAGCCCGGCCUCCGAGGACACCUCCGGCAGUGAUGACGUGGGAGGAGCGUGCCAGGUCUCAGAUGAGGAUCUUCAUGCUCGGUCAAAGAGAAGAAGAGCAAGAAAGCAUAAAUCAAGGAAAAGCCUUAAAAAUCCCAACAACGAUGGUGCAGAACGAGCAGAAGUAGAGAAACAGCAGAGUCUUUUACCAGAAAACCUGCAGCCACGGCACGCAGAUGGCCCCACAAUCAGCAAAAAUAAAAGGAGGAAGCUGAAGAAGCAGCAGCAGAUGAAGAGGAAGAAAGCGGCUGGCCUCCUGACAGCAGCCUCUGGCGGCAACUUCACAUACCAGCCAGAGGAGGGCGACAGCGAGUGGGCGGCCGGGUUGGAGAGUGAUGGGGAGGAUCACACGGAGGACCACACGGAGGACCACACGGAAGACGGCAUCCGUGUCCUCGGGGAGGGUUACGAGGAGGACGGUGCCCGUGUCUUCAGGGAAGACGACAGGGAGGACGGUGGCCAUGUCCUUGGGGAGGAUUAUGGGGAGGAUGGCACCUGUGUCCUCUGGGAGGACCGCACUGACACCCACGAGGAGGACCACAGGGAGGAUCACGGGGAGGACGAUGAAGACACCAGUGGGGAAGAUGUUAAAAACACCAACGAGAAGGCAGACGAUAUCCUAAACUUUUUGAAGUCAACACAAGAAAUUUAUUUUUAUGAUGGUACGUUCCUCACUGUUCUUUCAAAUAAUGGCAUCCACUUAUUUGGAAAAUUUUGAGGCAAAGACCAGAAUAUGUGGACUCUUCACCCGGGUUGGAGAGUGUCCCUGUGCUGGAGGCGUUGCACUCCUCACGUAGCCGGCCACUGCACCUGACUCCCGUGAACCUGCCUCAGAGGCUGGCGGUGUUCUCGGCUCUGUUGCCUCAGGAAAGGUAAGUCCAGGUGGCAGGUGUGGUGGACUCACGUGCCUUGUCCUCAGCUCACAGGGAAGGAAAAGUGCAAGCAUGACUGUCUCCUCUGGGACAUACUCUGCUUCCCACAUGUAACCUGCGGGCUUCAGGUUUCCAGUGAGCGUCCUGGGCAGCUGUCUGUGGAUGCAGGAGGUGGAAGAGGAGAGCAGAUUGGUCCUCUUGGGUGGUGGUUCCUCAGGUUUGCCUUGAGCUUACUGACAGCUGACCUCAGGAUCAGGAAGCAGCAGGUCCUCAAGCAGCACGGAUGGAGGCGCCCAACAUGGAUGUUCCCAUUCCCACCACACCCCCAGUGGAUGCAGGCCGGGCUGGGCUUAGCGGAUCCCGAUGCAAGUGAGAACAUGACCCUAUGGACAGGGUUGAGGAAUGUUGGCUGUGUAGUCAUUUAGGAGAUAAGACUGAUCUGAGCAAGGCAGAGAAAAUAGCACUUUUAACCUUCAGCACAUGUGUCAGCACUUUGUACUGACAGAGUGAAAACAAGCGUAAUACACGUGCAAACAAAGGAGGAAGACAGCUGGUGCACGGCAGAGCCGAGGAGCCUCAGAACUGCUUCGGGACGGGCUCCACUCGCUGGAUCCAGGAGGUUGUGCAGGAACUGCCUGAGAGGGCAGACCUCGGAGGAGGCAUGUCCCAGGCUGCGGCCUCCGCCGUCUUCGUGGAAGCCGCGCAGGAGCUGUUCCGACGUCUUGGCGACCACAGCGUGUCCCGCGCAGAUGUGCUCCUGAUGCAUCACAUGAAGACACUGUUGCUCCUGCGAGA